rnacentral:rRNA from 1 species
UACGGGGGGGGCAAGCGUUGUUCGGAAUUACUGGGCGUAAAGGGUUCGUAGGUGGCCAACUAAGCCAGACGUGAAAUCCCUCAGCUUAACUGGGGAACUGCGUCUGAUACUGGAUGGCUUGAGUGUGGGAGAGGGAUGCGGAAUUCCAGGUGUAGCGGUGAAAUGCGUAGAUAUCUGGAGGAACACCGGUGGCGAAGGCGGCAUCCUGGACCAUUACUGACACUGAAAAGCGAAAGCCAGGGGAGCAAACGGG